UAGGGAAUCUUCGGCAAUGGACGAAAGUCUGACCGAGCAACGCCGCGUGAGUGAAGAAGGUUUUCGGAUCGUAAAACUCUGUUGUUAGAGAAGAACAAGGACGUUAGUAACUGAACGUCCCCUGACGGUAUCUAACCAGAAAGCCACGGCUAACUACGUGCCAGCAGCCGCGGUAAUACGUAGGUGGCAAGCGUUGUCCGGAUUUAUUGGGCGUAAAGCGAGCGCAGGCGGUUUCUUAAGUCUGAUGUGAAAGCCCCCGGCUCAACCGGGGAGGGUCAUUGGAAACUGGGAGACUUGAGUGCAGAAGAGGAGAGUGGAAUUCCAUGUGUAGCGGUGAAAUGCGUAGAUAUAUGGAGGAACACCAGUGGCGAAGGCGGCUAUCUGGUCUGUAGCUGACGCUGAGGCUCGAAAGCGUGGGGAGCAAACAGG
rnacentral:rRNA from 1 species